rnacentral:tRNA from 1 species
GCAGUGGUGGUUCAGUGGUAGAAUUCUUGUUUUCAUGUGGGAGACCGGGGUUCGAUUCCUGGUCACCGCA